GCGUCUAUUUGUAGUGUUGAGCCACCCCUACAAAUUAGAUUUAUAGAGGUUGCUGGAUAUAGAGCCGAUCCCUAUAAAUCAGGCCAUUUGUAGGUGUGGCUGAUAACACCAGCAACCUCUAUAAUGACACCGGUAGCUCCUACAAAUGGAUUUGUAGGGAUGGCUCAUUUGGACACAACAUUUGCCUAAGAAAAGGAGACGUUGCUAAAAAUCGUUUUUUAGUAGUGAUGCCUGCCUCGUUAAUCUAAAAUGCUCACCUCCAAUAAGCUUACUGUACUAGUGUUUCUUUUUUUCCUUUUUUUCUAUUUUUACCAUUUAAUUAACUACGGAAGGUAGUUUAUAAAAUUUAAUCUUUACUACACCACCUUGGACUCACCCAUCCCUAAUCCCUAGCCAUCUCUUGGAGCCCUCCCUGCACCUCCACCUCGGCUUCCCACACACGCCAUGCUGCAAGCUAGGAGCCCCUGCUGGUGCACGAGGGCAUUCUUAGCUAGCAGUUAACCUGAGAGCCAGCCCCAGACCCAUACAAGCCAGAGUUCCUAAUUUGUUCUAUAUAGGUAAUAUACAUGUACUAGUCUACCGGAACCAACGGGCUUGGCCAUAGUUCAAGCAGUUACAGAACAUCACUGAUCACAUAAAAGACCAUAUCAAUCGAUGUUUCGGGAGAACUGUAUGUAUCUGUAUUAUGAGAAGGAGAAAGAGGUACCUCUCGAGGCAGGAUGAAUUUCUGUGUAGGAAGGACCAGCAAAUUAAGUGAAGGAGCUCCACAUAUCUUUUAUAUCUCUGGACCUCACACCAAAUACUGAGUUAUCUGGCCUAUAUAUAGUAUAACACACAUGUUAAUCCAUAUAGCAUAUCUACUUAUUAUUGAGAGAAUUAAACAAGUAUUGCCGGCAUGUAUUGUAUAAUUCAGAAGAGUUACCUCCGGCAGCCAUUUAUCUAGCUUCAGAAUUUUCAGAAAUGGUGGUGUGUGGUGAAUGGUGACGGCCGGGAUACUGCAGGUGCAGGUAAGCCCGUAUUUGUGGCCUCUGUGUUUUAGCCAAGCUCUGUUUGAUCUGUUCUAUGUGAAGUGAGCUUCACGUUAGAGCUUUGGACACGGCUAGCUUUUGGAAAAAAGGAUAGCUAGCUCUUUGCUUGGGGCUGGAGAAAGAAUAAAGAUGGAUGUAGUCCAGCGCUAAGUAAAGUUGCUCAGCAAAUCGGCCCCAAGAGAAACCAAAAUCUAUGGAUGUGUUUAACAUAAUCAGUUGAACCCAGAAAACCAAUUCAUCACAACAACAGUGGGAGGAAAUCUCACCUACUAAUUCUAAAAUGACUAGUUUUGUGGCAAUGGAUAACGAAUGCCUCACCUAAAUUAAACAGUCCAAGCAGCUUGGGUCAAUUUUCUCUUUUUUUUUGGAGGGAAACAGGAGGGGCUCUGCCCCUACUGGAAUUUUACUAAUACUUUUUGAAAAAUAAAAGAGAGGCUCUGAGUACAACCAUUAAGGUAAAAAAAGGAAACGAAAAUAAAUAAAUAAAUAAAAUUAUACAAAACUGUCUAGCCAUAGAUCUAUUGAGGGGUGAUAACGUGCUUUUGCUGGGUCAUCUUUGAUGCAGUAAAGUGCUGAGCUGGUUCACCCUUGAAACGUUUGUUGAGCCAGACAAGGCCCCCGCCCCCGCCCCCGCCAGGUUGUUGCUCUUGCUCGACACACUUGAGCGCCUGCAGCGGCGGCACAGCAACCAGGUAGCAAACAGGCGCCCGUCUGAUAACAAGAUACAUGCACAUUGCUUUGGCUUUGAUAAGAGAAUACACGCCUAGCUCAUUCUUUGAUCUUUAGUUUGCUUGGGGCUGGAGCGGCAGAAUAAAGAUAGAAGCUCUUUGUUUGCUCUUUUGCUUGGGGCUGGAGCGGCAGAAGGUCUUUGUUAUUUGCACGUCUGUUGUUCAAUUUAGUUUAGCUUAGGGUCAUCACUAAUCUUUUCAUCAGAGGUUAUUAGGCUGGGAUUUUAUUUAGAGGAAAAUGUAUGGAUAGUCCAUUAACUUAUGUGGAUAUGUCAAUUUGGUCCAUCAGAUUUGAAAGUGCAUUUUUGAGUCCAAAACCUUGAUCAAUGGUCCAUAAAUAGUCCAUAUCUCUUUGUUUUAUGUUUAUACUUAUAGAAAACCUCUUGCAUUUAUUUACAAGGUUACCCUUCCCUAUGCUAGGCACUGAGGCCAAGGCUGCUCUCCAGCUUGUCUAGCACACCAUGCCUGCCUGCGUGGAUGUAGGGCUAGCUUAAAGUCCGGCAUGUAGGGCUUUAGCUUCAUAGAUCCGUGGGUGACGCAACGGAGCAGCACGGCGGGCAGAACCCGGCGCUGCUCGGACAUUGGGAGCAUGAGCGGGCCCAGCAUGUGAUGUUGGAGCGUAGUAUGUUGCCGGCCACGAACAUGAGCCCUUUGUAGAACAAACUUGUUGCAGCCUACACUGUAGCUGCACCACAACCCUAUGCCAUGUUCGACGUGCUCACCAUCAACCCGGCGCUUCGCGAUGGCAUCCGCGUGGACCUGCUCGUGUUCAACAUCUAUGACCUAGAGAUCACCAAGGUGCAAUCCAACACCGAGGAGUGAAGCAGCGACGUCACCCGUUAUGGUGGCGUUUGCAGUUGGGAGCAGGUAGUUCGAAAUUUCACAGUGGAGAGAGCAGCACCCAAAGUAGAGUAGAACAGUGGUGUCGCCUUUGUGCCCAGAGCGGUGGCGUUUGCGGUUAGGAGCAAGGAAAGGUAAGAUUGUGAAAGAAAAAUAAAUUUAGGGGGUUUCUACAGAUAUAAACAUAAAAUGAAGGGGUAUGAACUAUUUAUUUAGCGGUUAUCAAGGUUUUGGAACUAAAACUGCAUUUUCAAACGUAAUGGACCAAAUGGACACACCCUACAAGUUAAUGGACUAUCAAUGUAUUUUACUCUUUUAUUUAUAUAUUGGAAAAACUUAAUCACAGAAUCUUGUAAAAUAGUCCAAUGUUUCCUUUGGAUACAUUUGAUCGGUUCCUCUUCAUAAUUUGAAUCAUAAAUUUGCUCAUUAUAGGUAUGUGCUUCACAGGUUUGUUAUGUACCAUGUACUGAUAUAAACAAAAUGGACAUCUCCAGGACAUUACUAGCGUGCUUAUUCGAACUCUUGUAUAUAAGAUAAUGCUUUUCCAGGACCAAUAUCGAGUAGCAAUUUCAAAUAUCCGAAUUACUCGACUCAAAGAAACACCAUUAGAUUAAUCAUGUCAUAGAUUAAUCACGUCAUAUAUUUUCAUACUAAACAUUAUUACAAGUCAUAUAUUUUCAUAUACUAAACAUCAUUACAAAUAUUUUGAGUUAAAGCGUUCAAAACUUAACCAAACAUAUAGGUAAAAAUAUUAAUAAUUUUAAUAUUGAAUAAGUACAUCAUAAAAAUAUAUCUCAUGACACAAAUAUAUUCUUGUUUCAUUUAAGGCAAAUAUUUCUAAUAUACAAAUAUUUCUAAUAAAUUAUUGCUUCAUCUCAAGCAAAGGGAGUAGGACGGAGAGGGAGUACUUGCCACUGAUCGACCCAGCCAUGGAGGGAGAGCUCGGACGACCGGUCGAGGAUGGUGAGCACACGUGGCAGAGGUGGGGCGUGGCACGUGGGGAUGACGGUGUGAACAGGCCAGGGCUCGAUAGCCGAUGUGUGGUGGUGUCGGCGUGGAGCGUGGGGACGACUGCGCGGACGGGACACAACGGCAGCCGGCGUGGCGGUGGUGGCGUGAACGGAGCUCGACGGCCGCCGAAGGGAGAGAGACAGAGAGAGCGCAUGGCGGAGAAGACGAGUCAAUCU
rnacentral:lncRNA from 1 species